UACAGAGGGGGCAAGCGUUAUUCGGAAUUACUGGGCGUAAAGGGCGCGUAGGCGGCCUGUUAAGUCGAACGUGAAAUCCCCGGGCUCAACCCGGGAACUGCGUCCGAUACUGGCAGGCUUGAAUUCGGGAGAGGGAUGCGGAAUUCCAGGUGUAGCGGUGAAAUGCGUAGAUAUCUGGAGGAACACCGGUGGCGAAGGCGGCAUCCUGGACCGAGAUUGACGCUGAUGCGCGAAAGCCAGGGGAGCAAACGGG
rnacentral:rRNA from 1 species